UACAGAGACUGCAAGCGUUAUUCGGAUUCACUGGGCGUAAAGGGUGCGCAGGCGGCCAAGUGUGUUAGGCGUGAAAGCCCGGGGCUUAACCUCGGAAUUGCACCUAAAACUACUUGGCUAGAGCAUUGGAGAGGGUAGCGGAAUUCACGGUGUAGCAGUGAAAUGCGUAGAUAUCGUGAGGAACACCAGAGGCGAAGGCGGCUACCUGGACAAUUGCUGACGCUCAGGCACGAAAGCGUGGGGAGCAAACAGG
rnacentral:rRNA from 1 species